AGUCGAGGGGCAUCAGGAAGAAGCUUGCUUUCUUUGCUGGCGACCGGCGCACGGGUGAGUAACACGUAUCCAACCUACCCUUUACUCGGGGAUAGCCUUUCGAAAGAAAGAUUAAUACCCGAUGGGAUAAUUAUUCCGCAUGGUUUGAUUAUUAAAGGAUUCCGGUAAAGGAUGGGGAUGCGUUCCAUUAGGUUGUUGGUGAGGUAACGGCUCACCAAGCCUUCGAUGGAUAGGGGUUCUGAGAGGAAGGUCCCCCACAUUGGAACUGAGACACGGUCCAAACUCCUACGGGAGGCAGCAGUGAGGAAUAUUGGUCAAUGGGCGCUAGCCUGAACCAGCCAAGUAGCGUGAAGGAUGAAGGCUCUAUGGGUCGUAAACUUCUUUUAUAUAAGAAUAAAGUGCAGUAUGUAUACUGUUUUGUAUGUAUUAUAUGAAUAAGGAUCGGCUAACUCCGUGCCAGCAGCCGCGGUAAUACGGAGGAUCCGAGCGUUAUCCGGAUUUAUUGGGUUUAAAGGGAGCGUAGGUGGACUGGUAAGUCAGUUGUGAAAGUUUGCGGCUCAACCGUAAAAUUGCAGUUGAUACUGUCAGUCUUGAGUACAGUAGAGGUGGGCGGAAUUCGUGGUGUAGCGGUGAAAUGCUUAGAUAUCACGAAGAACUCCGAUUGCGAAGGCAGCUCACUGGACUGCAACUGACACUGAUGCUCGAAAGUGUGGGUAUCAAACAGGA
rnacentral:rRNA from 1 species